UAUCAUCAAUUAGGAGUACAUCACUUCCUUCGAAAAAUAAAAUAAAACAAAAUAUAAAAUUUCUAAACAUUCAGAGAAUUGUCUUGUUUUUCCUCCAAGUACCAAGAACCAUCAUACGUUCUCCAAGAUCCAAGUAAUCAUCUUGUAUUGAAAUUCUCACCUACAAAGAAAAAUCAUAAUACUAUUUAGGCAUAAAUUCUAAAUGAAGUUUAAAAAUAAACAUAAUAUGUAUUGUACAUAAAAGGAUCCACAUAAAAAUUACAAAGUGUGAAACAAAAGAUUGUUGGGGAAGAAGAAAUAAUCUUAUGUAUGUGUAACAAAUGACUUAGUAGGAGGACAUGUUAAAACACUGAUUAUCUUUGACCAAUCCAGUGUGCAUGUUCACUGCGAACAGCCAGCGGCAUGUAUUCACUACUAACAAUUAUCCAUAGAUUAUAUUAUAUCAAGAAUGAUAUGCAUUCAGCAACCAACUAAAUGGUGAGUAGGCAAGCAAUAAUAUCGACUAUACAAAAUUGGAUAUUUCCGUUUUCUAAAGGUCUCAGCACUAACUAGUUUAGUGUCACGAUUACCCACAUACUGCUCAUGCUUGCUAUGACGUAUUAGGAGAAAAGAACUCAAUGCCAACAGCUCAAAGUCAUUAACUAAUCUACAUCACAAAAAAUUUCGUAGUUACCUGAGAACUACAAUGUCACAUUAUAAUUUCUCAAUCAAGAUUCAAGAAUAAGACUCUUAGAACUAGUAGAAGAAACAACAUGAAAAAGAAACACUUCUUUAGAUUUGGUCUUUUCUAGGAAAAAGUAGUGGAGUUUUGUUUCUAGAGAAGGUAGGAUCCAAGGUGUUUACAGGGAAAAAAUAAUAAUUUAAUGUGGCAAUAUUUAAUUUUUCAAGACCAACCUAUCAAUAAGCUGAAUAUAUAUUUAAGAAAAAAGCAUCAGGGGCGACCUAUGUAAUGGCUGAACAAUAUGAAUAAUAGCAAACCUAACUAAUGGAUGAGCAAUUCUAUGUCAGUACUUACCCAGUUAUAAGAAACACUGCCCAUGUGCCUUUCCUGCCAAUGUAGAAUAUCAUAUGCCCAAGAGGAUUUGAUCUUUGGUCACAAUUCAGCUCCCUAAUCAUGUAUCAUUUGUCAUGCAUUGAAUACCUGAAUAUCAAUACCUAUAUGAAUCUAUAAAAUAUAGGCAUGUACAAAAGUUAUGAUCAGAAAAAAUAGACAUAUACUGGCACACUUAACUAACAAAGACUCGCUGGACUAGUUAGUGUAAAAAUUAAGGAUAUGGAAUAAAUAAGAAUGCUGCGUCAUGAGGAGGAGAUAAGGAAAUGGACACCUUAGUGGACUGAACCAGGGGAGGAUUUAUCAAGUAAGCGAAUGGGUUGCC
rnacentral:lncRNA from 1 species